rnacentral:rRNA from 1 species
UACGGAGGGAGCUAGCGUUAUUCGGAAUUACUGGGCGUAAAGCGCACGUAGGCGGCUUUGUAAGUUAGAGGUGAAAGCCUGGUGCUCAACACCAGAACUGCCUUUGAUACUGCAUCGCUUGAAUCCAGGAGAGGUAAGUGGAAUUCCGAGUGUAGAGGUGAAAUUCGUAGAUAUUCGGAAGAACACCAGUGGCGAAGGCGACUUACUGGACACAUAUUGACGCUGAGGUGCGAAAGCGUGGGGAGCAAACAGG